CUGACCACUUCUUAAUAACUUUUGAAUUCCUACUACCAGACUAUACGAAAUUAAAUAAAAGUUUCUACACUAGAUGCUUAUCUGACAGUGCUAUAGCGAAAUUUAAGGAAGACAUUCCGACAGCACUUAAUUCAAUUACCUUAUUUUAAUACAACUAA